AAUGAACGCUGGCGGCGUGCCUAACACAUGCAAGUCGCACGAGAAAGGGACUUCGGUCCUGAGUACAGUGGCGCACGGGUGAGUAACACGUGAAUCAUCUACCUUCGAGUGGGGAAUAACUGAGAGAAAUCUUAGCUAAUACCGCAUAAUACCUACGGGUCAAAGCAGCAAUGCGCUUGAAGAGGAGUUCGCGGCAGAUUAGUUAGUUGGCAGGGUAANGGCCUACCAAGACGAUGAUCUGUAUCCGGCCUGAGAGGGCGCACGGACACACUGGAACUGAAACACGGUCCAGACUCCUACGGGAGGCAGCAGUAAGGAAUAUUGGGCAAUGGACGAGAGUCUGACCCAGCCAUGCCGCGUGAAGGAUGAAGGUCCUCAGGAUUGUAAACUUCUUUUAUCUGGGAACGAAAAGGGAUACUCUUAUCCACUUGACGGUACCAGAGGAAUAAGCACCGGCUAACUCCGUGCCAGCAGCCGCCGUAAG
rnacentral:rRNA from 1 species